rnacentral:rRNA from 1 species
AACGAACGCUGGCGGCAGGCUUAACACAUGCAAGUCGAGCGCCCCGCAAGGGGAGCGGCAGACGGGUGAGUAACGCGUGGGAAUCUACCCAUCUCUACGGAAUAACGCAUGGAAACGUGUGCUAAUACCGUAUACGUCCUUCGGGAGAAAGAUUUAUCGGAGAUGGAUGAGCCCGCGUUGGAUUCGCUAGUUGGUGGGGUAAAGGCCUACCAAGGCGACGAACCAUAGCUGGUCUGAGAGGAUGAUCAGCCACACUGGGACUGAGACACGGCCCAGACCCCUACGGGAGGCAGCAGUGGGGAAUAUUGGACAAUGGGCGCAAGCCUGAUCCAGCCAUGCCGCGUGAGUGAUGAAGGCCCUAGGGUUGUAAAGCUCUUUCACCGGUGAAGAUAAUGACGGUAACCGGAGAAGAAGCCCCGGCUAACUUCGUGCCAGCCGCCGCCGUAACAC